rnacentral:rRNA from 1 species
AGAGUUUGAUCAUGGCUCAGAUUGAACGCUGGCGGCAUGCUUUACACAUGCAAGUCGAACGGCAGCGCGGGGCAACCUGGCGGCGAGUGGCGAACGGGUGAGUAAUAUAUCGGAACGUACCCAAGAGUGGGGGAUAACGUAGCGAAAGUUACGCUAAUACCGCAUACGAUCUAAGGAUGAAAGCAGGGGACCGCAAGGCCUUGUGCUCCUGGAGCGGCCGAUAUCUGAUUAGCUAGUUGGUGAGGUAAAGGCUCACCAAGGCGACGAUCAGUAGCUGGUCUGAGAGGACGACCAGCCACACUGGAACUGAGACACGGUCCAGACUCCUACGGGAGGCAGCAGUGGGGAAUUUUGGACAAUGGGCGCAAGCCUGAUCCAGCAAUGCCGCGUGAGUGAAGAAGGCCUUCGGGUUGUAAAGCUCUUUUGUCAGGGAAGAAACGGUGGAGGCUAAUAUCCUCUACUAAUGACGGUACCUGAAGAAUAAGCACCGGCUAACUACGUGCCAGCAGCCGCGGUAAUACGUAGGGUGCAAGCGUUAAUCGGAAUUACUGGGCGUAAAGCGUGCGCAGGCGGUUUUGUAAGUCUGUCGUGAAAGCCCCGGGCUCAACCUGGGAAUUGCGAUGGAGACUGCAAGGCUUGAAUCUGGCAGAGGGGGGUAGAAUUCCACGUAGCAGUGAAAUGCGUAGAGAUGUGGAGGAACACCGAUGGCGAAGGCAGCCCCCUGGGUCAAGAUUGACGCUCAUGCACGAAAGCGUGGGGAGCAAACAGGAUUAGAUACCCUAGUAGUCC